CCUACGGGUGGCAGCAGUGGGGAAUAUUGCACAAUGGGGGAAACCCUGAUGCAGCGACGCCGCGUGAAGGAAGAAGUAUCUCGGUAUGUAAACUUCUAUCAGCAGGGAAGAAAGUGACGGUACCUGACUAAGAAGCCCCGGCUAACUACGUGCCAGCAGCCGCGGUAAUACGUAGGGGGCAAGCGUUAUCCGGAUUUACUGGGUGUAAAGGGAGCGUAGGCGGCGAUGCAAGUCAGAAGUGAAAGCCCGGGGCUCAACUCCGGGACUGCUUUUGAAACUGUAUGGCUAGAGUGCAGGAGCGGUAGGUGGAAUUGAUGGUGUAGCGGUGAAAUGCGUAGAUAUUAGGAGGAACACCAGUGGCGAAGGCGGCUUGCUGGACUGUAAAUGACGUUGAGGCUCGAAAGCGUGGGGAGCAAACAGGAUUAGAUACCCGUGUAGUC
rnacentral:rRNA from 1 species